rnacentral:rRNA from 1 species
UACGUAGGGGGCAAGCGUUGCUCGGAAUUAUUGGGCGUAAAGCGCACGUAGGCGGCUAUCUAAGUCGGAUGUGAAAUCCCUCGGCUUAACCAAGGAAGUGCACCCGAAACUGGAUAGCUUGAGUACAGAAGAGGAUCGCGGAAUUCCCGGUGUAGAGGUGAAAUUCGUAGAUAUCGGGAGGAACACCAGUGGCGAAGGCGGCGAUCUGGGCUGAUACUGACGCUGAGGUGCGAAAGCGUGGGGAGCAAACAGG